AAGCCCUAUAUUUUAUGAGUGCCUCUACAGCCACAGAAUGGCAUCCCAUCCCGACAGUGCAAUUAUUUUUAAUGUAUUUUUUUAAUGCUUUUAAAUAUAUAUUUAAAAAAAAUUAUAAUAGUAUUAAAAAAAUACUUCAUUAAUCGUUAAAAAAAAAAAAAAAACUUUUUUACACUGUCGGUGGGGAUACCAGUUUAUGGCUUUAGCAUUUCUGAUAUUUUAUUUGUCCCUCCUUAAUGCUGACAGGUGACAAGGCCUAUAUUAUUCGAAAUACAUCAACUUUGGAUGAAAUCUGCUAAGAGAAAUACACAUGAGAGCUUUCCAAAUCCCUCAUAUUAAUUAUCAAGGCUUUCACUUUACACUGUUAUAUGUGGAGGGCAAAUUGAGGAAAUGCAGUAUUUUGAGAUGCAAAUUUUGCAAAAGAUUAAGCAGUAAAGCUGCUUGCUUGAGCCUUGAAAAAACCCAUAAAUAGUUUAAUCAUGAUAAAAAAUAGGAAGGGUCAGCUCCUAAUCUCUGAGUGUAAAUCUUUUUGAGUUAAAGCACAAUUGUAACUACUAGGAAUCUCUCUCUGUUUUUGUUUUUUGUUCAUGCUGCAAAGACAACCGAGACAAAUAGAAAACGAAGACAUAUUCAUGCACACAUGUCAAAGAAGACACAAACUUAACACAAUCAUACGUGCACUGGUGAAUAGUACGUGUAUUGUCCGGCUAACCUACCUGUAACCAGUAACCACCAUGAACUGUAAAAAGUGGCAACUUGAGAGCCAGAGAAAUGAACCGUGCCCUCUGUCUUCAGCUGCCCAAGAAACUCUUUAAAGGGUACAAAAUACUGCAGUCCUCAUAAAAGAACUGAAUGAAAAUGAACAUCCUAUUCUUCUUUGAUAAUUAUCUUGGUUUUUCUUACCUUGGCUCCACUUGAAACUUGACUGGCUGCGGUUUCUGCCCUGUAUGAAGAAUGUCUGUUUUGUUCUUUUACUCUCCUUUCAUCUUUUUUCUUGAACUGUUUGCAUGGUUUCUUUGCUGAGGAUAAUUUGCUGUUGGCUGUAUCUUUUGCAUGCUUGAUAUGAUCCAGGCUGCGACUUCCUCCAUUUGGAAGUUCAUCAUGGUGACUCGGACCGGACGAGGCGUCUGAAGCCAUAGAGUCUUCACUCUCAUCAUCAUCUUCGCCACGGGUAUAUUUGUCUUUGCUGUUGUUUUCAUUUUCAUUUUGUGUGGUGGAGCCGAAAUAAAUUGUCCACCCAGAAUCACUGCAGCUGUGUUCGUCCGCACUUCCAAAAUCCAAAUGAGUCUCCAUUACUGUAGCUUUAGGAACGAAAUAUAUAUGUGAGGAAGAAACAUAAUCCAAGAGAGAGACGACCGCGUAUCAGGACAAACCGACAUAGUGACCAAUUUCAACAGCGCGCAUUAAACCCUUAUUAUUAGAUUGACAGUGAACAUGUCCCCCCAAGACAAUCCUGUCACCUUAAAUUAUAUGACUCCAGUCACUAGAAGACAAGCAUUCUCUCAUGAAAAGAGGAGGACCAUCUCAAAUUAUGGGAAUAAAAUUUACUUGGACUGGGGCUGGUUUCAUUUGAUCGUUUGAUGGCUUCGCCAAGGUCUUUAAUUCCCUGUCUGUUGCUUGCGUAAACAAAGCAGCUUUGAAGAUAAAAACUGGAAACGAGUCAGCCCCACUGAAUUGGGAAUGAGUUUGAGUCAUUUUCUUGAACGGGUUGCUAUCGUGCCUCGCCCUCUAUUAUCUCUAGUAUUGACUUGUUCGAUCUUUAAAACUCUACUUGUCAUCGAUAAAAAGCAGCAUUGUACUGUGAAGAAUUGAUGAGAAAACAGUUGGGUUUUGGCAUUUUGUAUCAGAUGAAUGGGAUACUGUUUGUCCAAA